CCUAUUAUUCCAAUUGUUGAUUAGUUAAUACCAGAGUAGUAUUAGAUAUGUUCUUGAAACUCAAAGAAUUUGGUGGUGUUUUAGUCUUGUCAGAGGAACCUGUCCCUUAAUCGAUAAUCCCCGUUUUACUAUACUUAAUUUAGUAGUCAGCUUGUAUACCGCCGUCACAAGAGUGUUUCUGGAGACAAUACUCAAGAUUUUCUAAUAAAGAAGAUGUCAGGUCAAGGUGCAGUUUAUAAUUAAGUGGUGAUGGGUUACAAUAAUAAAAAUUAAAUGGAUGAGAGGAUGAAAAGAUCUUUGAAGGUGGAUUUGGGUGUAAUAAAUUGUAGAGUAAAUUUAUGAUAAAAGCUCUAAAACAUGCACACA
rnacentral:rRNA from 1 species